AACUGCCACUGACCAGCGGUGGAAACAUCGCCUUCCCGCAAGGGACAGUGGUAGAGGUGCUGCAUGGCUGUCGUCAGCUCGUGCCGUGAGGUGUUGGGUUAAGUCCCGCAACGAGCGCAACCCUUACUCUUAGUUGCCACCCGCAAGGGGGAACUCUAAGAGGACUGCUCCGGAUAACGGAGAGGAAGGUGGGGAUGACGUCAAGUCAGCACGGCCUUUAUGUCCAGGGCUACACACGUGUUACAAUGCACGGUACAGACUGUUGCGAACCCGCGAGGGGGAGCCAAUCGGAAAAACCGUGCUCAGUUCGGAUUGCAGUCUGCAACUCGACUGCAUGAAGCUGGAAUCGCUAGUAAUGGCGUAUCAGAACGACGCCGUGAAUACGUUCCCGGGCCUUGUACACACCGCCCGUCACAUCACGAAAGUGGGCUGUACUAGAAGUCGCCAUGCUAACCGCAAGGAAGCCAGCGCCCAAGGUAUGGCUCAUGAUUGGGGUGAAGUCGUAACAAGGUAAGCGUAGUGCU
rnacentral:rRNA from 1 species